AUGGCAGAGCUUGGGCUGAAGGAAGAAGAUCUUGACGAUGUGAUCUUUGAUGAGGAAGCUGCGCCUCCACAGGGACCCAGAUGGAUUGCGCUGGCUAGGGUAAACACCUCCAAAUCAUAUAGUCAGACAUGGUUCUACAGAAACAUGCGAGCAGCAUGGAAUACAGCGCAGGAGGUCAAGUUCAAGCCCUUGGAAGAUAAUCUGUACUCAGUUCAACUGUCCUGUUUAGGAGAUUGGGAG
rnacentral:rRNA from 1 species